UACGGAGGAUGCGAGCGUUAUCCGGAUUUAUUGGGUUUAAAGGGUGCGUAGGCGGCCUUUUAAGUCAGCGGUGAAAGUCUGUGGCUCAACCCCAUCCAGCCGUUGAAACUGGGGAUCUAGAGUGUGCGAGAGGUAUGCGGAAUGCGUGGUGUAGCGGUGAAAUGCAUAGAUAUCGCGCAGAACUCCGAUUGCGAAGGCAGCACGCCGGCUCCACACUGACGCUGAGGCACGAAAGCGUGGGUAUCGAACAGG
rnacentral:rRNA from 1 species